CAACUGUUCUUAUUAAUAUACACCCGAGCAUUUAACGUGGUAGUAGAUUAAUUUAAAGAGAUGUUGAAAGAGAAGGUGGUAAAAUAGCAAUUACAAUGCAAUACCAAGGAACAAGAAGUAACGGCCAAUACAAACCAUGCAAAGAGAAGGCAAGUGAUUUUAACAAAAAAGGUUACAUAGUCAAUGUAAACCAUGCAAUGCUCAAUGCUAAAUGGAAGAGAAUUCAUGUGAAAAUCUUGUCCACCUGUGUUUCUUCAAGUUCUCGGGACCAGGUUCUGUUCCACUUCUUUUUCUAUCCUUUUUAUUACUUCCAUCCUUGUGAUGCUUGUGCUUGUUAUGAUCCUUGUCUUUGUGCAUUUUGUGCUUCAUUUCCUUUAUCAUUUGUGGACUUGCUCCUUGACUUCAUUACUGCAGUAGGGAUCCCUCCAUCUGCCUGUUAAGAUGAGACCAAAGGAACAACCAGAAGAGUCUGUUUGCAAGAAUGAAAAUCCUGUCGCUGUAAACUUGUAACCCUCCCAAUCAAAUUUAGAAAUCACAACUAAAACAUGAAGCAUAGUAUUUAUCACACUAAUUUAAGCCAACAAAAAACAUAUGCAAAACUUAAUCAAUAGGAUUAAAAUUUUAAUAUGCUGCCUUUUUGAAAUAAAUUCCCACUGUGAUGGCUUAAAUACACGCCAGUUCUUCCAGCAAUCAUGCUUAAAAAAACAUACAAGUUUUGACUUUUAAUUGAAGAAAAACAGAAACCUAUUCACAAAGCACAUAUUGCAAAGGUAACGACAACCUGCAGAAUACUUCAUGCUAAGGCCAAAGCUUGUACUCAUUUAUCAUUAUGAAAUCAACAGCACCACCAAGCUCCCU
rnacentral:misc_RNA from 1 species